rnacentral:rRNA from 1 species
AGUGAACGCUGGCGGUAGGCCUAACACAUGCAAGUCGAACGGCAGCACAGUAAGAGCUUGCUCUUACGGGUGGCGAGUGACGGACGGGUGAGGAAUACAUCGGAAUCUACUUUUUCGUGGGGGAUAACGUAGGGAAACUUACGCUAAUACCGCAUACGACCUACCGGUGAAAGCAGGGGAUCUUCGGACCUUGCGCGAUUGAAUGAGCCGAUGUCGGAUUAGCUAGUUGGCGGGGUAAAGGCCCACCAAGGCGACGAUCCGUAGCUGGUCUGAGAGGAUGAUCAGCCACACUGGAACUGAGACACGGUCCAGACUCCUACGGGAGGCAGCAGUGGGGAAUAUUGGACAAUGGGCGCAAGCCUGAUCCAGCCAUACCGCGUGGGUGAAGAAGGCCUUCGGGUUGUAAAGCCCUUUUGUUGGGAAAGAAAAGCAGCAGGUUAAUACCCCGCUGUUCUGACGGUACCCAAAGAAUAAGCACCGGCUAACUUCGUG